rnacentral:rRNA from 1 species
CGACACCGAGGGGGUCGAUUCCCCCGACACCUAGUGUUCAUCGUUUACGGCCAGGACUACAGGGGUAUCUAAUCCCUUUCGCUCCCCUGGCUUUCGUCCAUGAGCGUCAGUUAUGGCCCAGCAGAGCGCUUUCGCCACUGGUGUUCUUCCCGAUAUCUACGCAUUUCACCGCUACACCGGGAAUUCCCUCUGCCCCUACCACACUCGAGUCUUACAGUUUCCAUCGCUGAAAUGGAGUUGAGCUCCACGCUUUAACGACAGACUUGUAAAACCGCCUGCGGACGCUUUACGCCCAAUAAUUCCGGAUAACGCUUGCCACUCCCGUAUUACCGCGGCUGCUGGCACGGAAUUAGCCGUGGCUUAUUCAUCAAGUACCGUCAGAUCUUCUUCCUUGAUAAAAGAGGUUUACAGCCCAGAGGCCUUCAUCCCUCACGCGGCGUUGCUCCGUCAGGCUUGCGCCCAUUGCGGAAAAUUCCCCACUGCUGCCUCCCGUA